GACGAGGGGUCCUAGCGUUGUUCGGAAUCACUGGGCGUAAAGCGUAUGUAGGCGGGCUUUUAAGUCAGGUGUGAAAUCCCAUGGCUCAACCAUGGAAUUGCAUUUGAAACUGGAAGUCUUGAGUGUGGGAGAGAUUGGUAGAAUACCUGGUGUAGUGGUGAAAUACGUAGAUAUCAGGUGGAAUACCGGUGGCGAAGGCGGCCAAUUGGCCCAACACUGACGCUGAGGCACGAAAGCGUGGGGAGCAAACAGG
rnacentral:rRNA from 1 species